rfam:Bacteroidales bacterium WCE2008 genome assembly, contig: Ga0070252_13
AUAUCUCUUCAGGGCAGGGUGUAAUCCCCUACUGGCGGUGACAGUCCGCGACUCCCCUUUUUGGGGACUGAACCGGUGAAAUUCCGAUACCAACGGUGACAGUCCGGAUGGAAGACGAGAUAU